AACGAACGCUGGCGGCAUGCCUAACACAUGCCAGUCGAACGAGACCUUCGGGUCUAGUGGCGCACGGGUGCGUAACGCGUGGGAACCUGCCCUUAGGUUCGGAAUAACUCCCCGAAAGGGGUGCUAAUACCGGAUAAUGUCUUCGGCCCAAAGAUUUAUCGCCUUUGGAUGGGCCCGCGUUGGAUUAGCUAGUUGGUAGGGUAAAAGCCUACCAAGGCGACGAUCCAUAGCUGGUCUGAGAGGAUGAUCAGCCACACUGGGACUGAGACACGGCCCAGACUCCUACGGGAGGCAGCAGUGGGGAAUAUUGGACAAUGGGCGAAAGCCUGAUCCAGCAAUGCCGCGUGAGUGAUGAAGGCCUUAGGGUUGUAAAGCUCUUUUACCCGGGAUGAUAAUGACAGUACCGGGAGAAUAAGCUCCGGCUAACUCCGUG
rnacentral:rRNA from 1 species